UACAGAGGCCUCGAGCGUUAGGCGGAAUCACUGGGCUUAAAGCGUGUGUAGGUGGAUGCCUAAGUACCUUGUGAAAUCCCACGGCUUAACCGUGGAAUUGCUGGGUAUACUGGGUGUCUUGAGCCACUCAGGGGCUACCGGAACAAGCGGUGGAGCGGUGAAAUGCGUAGAUAUCGCUUGGAACGCCAAUGGUGAAAACAGGUAGCUGGGGGUGUGCUGACACUGAGACACGAAAGUGUGGGGAUCAAACAGG
rnacentral:rRNA from 1 species